UGUGAAACUGAACAGCGGCCGAAUCAGACAGCGGAUCAAUGUGAAGACGUCGGACUCUGGCGGAUUCUCUUCAUCGUACUCGGAACAAUAAACUGUCUCGUCAUUGCUGUAGUCGCAGGUGAGUGUAAAUAUACUCCAGCUGUAAUCUCUUCUGUUUUAUAUAUAAUCAUUUAUAUAUUUUAAUAAUGAACUUUCCAUAAUUUUGUAAUUAUUAUUUAAAUAUUUGAUAAUUUUUGUGAAUAAAAGAGGGGGUAACGGUGGCGUUGAGGUUAGCAUUGUUGGCUCGCACCUCAGGGAUUAACGGUUCGAAUUGUACCUCCCCUGAUCGCAUGUUCUGCUCGUGCUUUGGGGGUUUUCCUCUC
ensembl:lncRNA